UACGGAGGGUGCAAGCGUUAAUCGGAACUACUGGGCGUAAAGCGCAUGUAGGUGGUUAGCUAAGUCAGCUGUGAAAUCCCCGGGCUCAACCUGGGCACUGCAGUUGAAACUGGUUAGCUAGAGUAGGGUAGAGGGGUGUGGAAUUCCAGGUGUAGCGGUGAAAUGCGUAGAUAUCUGGAGGAACAUCAGUGGCGAAGGCGACACCCUGGACUCAUACUGACACUGAGAUGCGAAAGCGUGGGGAGCAAACAGG
rnacentral:rRNA from 1 species